rnacentral:rRNA from 1 species
GACGAACGCUGGCGGCGUGCUUAACACAUGCAAGUCGAACGGAAAGGCCCUGCUUGCAGGGUACUCGAGUGGCGAACGGGUGAGUAACACGUGGGUGAUCUGCCCUGCACUUCGGGAUAAGCCUGGGAAACUGGGUCUAAUACCGGAUAGGAGCCAUUUUUAGUGUGAUGGUUGGAAAGUUUUUUCGGUGUAGGAUGAGCUCGCGGCCUAUCAGCUUGUUGGUGGGGUAAUGGCCUACCAAGGCGGCGACGGGUAGCCGGCCUGAGAGGGUGGACGGCCACGUUGGGCCUGGGUGCGGGCCAAGCUCCCGAGGGGGGGCGGAGGGGGGAAAUAUUGAACAAGGGGCGCAGGCUGGAUGAGGCGCCCCCGGGGGGGGGAGGACGCCUUUCGGGUGGAAAACUCCUUGCGUAAGGAACAAUGCUUUUUGUGACGUAACCUAAUUAAGAAGCCCCGGCUACCUACGUG